rnacentral:rRNA from 1 species
UACGUAGGGUGCAAGCGUUGUCCGGAAUUAUUGGGCGUAAAGAGCUCGUAGGCGGUUUGUCGCGUCUGCUGUGAAAACUCGGGGCUUAACCCCGAGCCUGCAGUGGAUACGGGCAGACUAGAGGUAGGUAGGGGAGAAUGGAAUUCCCGGUGUAGCGGUGAAAUGCGCAGAUAUCGGGAGGAACACCGAUGGCGAAGGCAGGUCUCUGGGCCGAUACUGACGCUGAGGAGCGAAAGCGUGGGGAGCGAACAGG